rnacentral:rRNA from 1 species
GGGCCCGCACAAGCGGUGGAGUAUGUGGCUUAAUUCGAUGCAACGCGAAGAACCUUACCUAGGCUUGACAUGUAUUGCUAAGCACGUGAAAGCGUGUGACUCUUCGGAGACCUUACACAGGUGCUGCAUGGCCGUCGUCAGCUCGUGUCGUGAGAUGUUUGGUUAAGUCCAGCAACGAGCGCAACCCCUGUGGAUAGUUGCCAGCACGUAAUGGUGGGGACUCUAUCCAGACUGCCCAGGUCAACUGGGAGGAAGGUGGGGAUGACGUCAGGUCAGUAUGGCCCUUACGCCUAGGGCUGCACACGUACUACAAUGCCCAGUACAAUGAGAACCGAGACCGCGAGGUGGAGGAAAUCUGCAAAACUGGGCCCAGUUCGGAUUGGAGGCUGCAACUCGCCUCCAUGAAGUUGGAAUCGCUAG